GACGAACGAUGGCGGAGGGGGGAACACAUGCAAGUCGAACGGAAAGGCCCUGCUUUUGUGGGGUGCUCGAGUGGCGAACGGGUGAGUAACACGUGAGUAACCUGCCCUUGACUUUGGGAUAACUUCAGGAAACUGGGGCUAAUACCGGAUAGGAGCUCCUGCUGCAUGGUGGGGGUUGGAAAGUUUCGGCGGUUGGGGAUGGACUCGCGGCUUAUCAGCUUGUUGGUGGGGUAGUGGCUUACCAAGGCUUUGACGGGUAGCCGGCCUGAGAGGGUGACCGGCCACAUUGGGACUGAGAUACGGCCCAGACUCCUACGGGAGGCAGCAGUGGGGAAUAUUGCACAAUGGGCGGAAGCCUGAUGCAGCAACGCCGCGUGCGGGAUGACGGCCUUCGGGUUGUAAACCGCUUUCGCCUGUGACGAAGCGUGAGUGACGGUAAUGGGUAAAGAAGCACCGGCUAACUACGUG
rnacentral:rRNA from 1 species